rfam:Bombyx mori DNA, contig: Bm_scaf169_contig40875, strain: p50T/Dazao, build 2, whole genome shotgun sequence.
UCAAAUCAAAUUUGUAUGGAGUUGGAACGUUUGCCUACGUUUGGCGCUAGGGGCGCUGUUCCAACUGCAAACAAAUUUGCGUUU